rnacentral:tRNA from 2 species
GUCAGCUUAGUAUAAAAAGGUAGUACGUGAGAUUGUAAAUUUUGAGGUGACUUAUCAGCUGAAA